GGGCCGGUAGCUCAGUCGGUAGAGCAACUGACUUUUAAUCAGUGGGUCCUGAGUUCGAGUCUCAGCCGGCUCA
rnacentral:tRNA from 1 species